GGACUACCCGGGUAUCUAAUCCUGUUCGCUCCCCACGCUUUCGCUCCUCAGCGUCAGUUACGGCCCAGAGACCCGCCUUCGCCACCGGUGUUCCUCCUGAUAUCUGCGCAUUUCACCGCUACACCAGGAAUUCCAGUCUCCCCUGCCGAACUCGAGCAUGCCCGUAUCGAAUGCAGGCCCGCGGUUGAGCCGCGGGGUUUCACAUCCGACGUGACACGCCGCCUACGAGCUCUUUACGCCCAAUAAUUCCGGACAACGCUUGCACCCUACGUAUUACCGCGGCUGCUGGCAC
rnacentral:rRNA from 1 species